ensembl:lncRNA
GGCCAGCGUCACCUCUCAGGGAGCUGAAAGGGAGAUUGUGACUCUCAGCCAUUGAGGAAAGAGGAAUCAUUCAUUUAAUAAAGCUUCUUGCACCGGCCCUGGAGUGCCUACCCCCGCGAUUGCUUGUGAAACUGGUGAUGACUCAGAACUUCGGAGCAGAGUGGGGCAUCCCCGGCCCGUAUCUCAGUCGAUCCUGCGCAGACCCUGUCACCCCCGCUCACCACUCGCGGGUGUCAGACUGCAGGGCUGGAUCACCGCACGGCCCCGCCCAGGACUAGAGGCUCUGCAGUUGUUGCCUGAUGAGCAACCCGAGCGUGGUCUGCUCUCCUGCCAAUUAUCUUUGAUAAGAUGAAGCCCACAGCAUACCAGUUUUUUCCACUGAUUUCACGAUAAAUACUCGUUCCUGGAACCCAGGCCCAAGGCAGGUGAUGUGGUCAUAGCAACAACAGGAGCAGGAUGAUAAGCAGUAGGGCAGAAAGGUCUGACCAUCUCUCACCUAGGUUCUCCACCUCGGCACCUUUGGGAGGACGGUCCUUGGUCCAGAGGGCUGUUUCCGGCACCGGAUGAUACCCAGAUACUUAGCCAUCCUCUCAGCCUCCAUGUACCUGAUGCCAUGGCCACCUCACCUUGGUUAGGAAAAACACCAGAAAUUUCCCCAGAAAUUUCCGAACGUCCCCCUGGCCAGGAAUGGGGGGACUGGCAGGGGGAUGCCAGGUCCAACCAGCCCAUCAAGCUUUUCUGGAAACACAAGCUCUGAGGGGGAAGAGGAAACAUCAGGGCUGCCUGGAGGAAAGCCUCAGCGGACUCAGAAUGCUGUGGUGCAUCCACCCCAAGGGCGAGACUUCAGAAGGCAGUUUGGGGCACUCCCAGUUAUAAUCCCAGGCCUCCCACUGAUACCAUCAUCAGUUUGCACACAAAAAUGCAGCUCUGGCUUAACUUUAACCUUUACAAGGCUGUUUGUUUCAUCUUGUGAGUUUUUUUCUGGACCCUGGGGGCUGGACAGGUCUCCAGGGGCUUGAGAAAAUUCCAAGACCCACUCCCUCUCUUAGGGAACGUGCUGCUUGACUUGCUGAUGACAACUGGUGUGUUUGCGAGCAGGCACGUAGUCCAGGCAGACCAGACAUCAGUCGGAGGCCUGCUCUCCUGCUUCUGAAGCCCGAACAAGACUCCAUUUUCAUUUCCCUAACACAGCAGUGAUUCCGUUUUAAAUGCAUGUGUGUGGGGUGCAUGGUGUGUGCUCACUCAGUCGUGUCCAACUCGGUGACCCCAUGGACUGUAGCCCACCAGGCUCCUCUGUCUGUGGGGUUCUCCAGGCAAGAGUAUUGGAG